UAACUUUGAGCGGUGGAUCACUCGGCUCGUGCGUCGAUGAAGAGCGCAGCCAGCUGCGUGAAUAUAAUGUGAAUUGCAGAACACA
rnacentral:rRNA from 1 species